CCUACGGGGGGCUGCAGUGGGGAAUAUUGGACAAUGGGGGCAACCCUGAUCCAGCCAUGCCGCGUGUGUGAAGAAGGCCCUCGGGUUGUAAAGCACUUUCAGUGAGGAAGAACGCCUGGUGGUUAAUACCCAUCAGGAAAGACAUCACUCACAGAAGAAGCACCGGCUAAACUCCGUGCCAGCAGCCGCGGUAAUACGGAGGGUGCGAGCGUUAAUCGGAAUUACUGGGCGUAAAGCGCGCGUAGGUGGCUUGAUAAGCCGGUUGUGAAAGCCCCGGGCUCAACCUGGGAACGGCAUCCGGAACUGUCAAGCUAGAGUGCAGGAGAGGAAGGUAGAAUUCCCGGUGUAGCGGUGAAAUGCGUAGAGAUCGGGAGGAACACCAGUGGCGAAGGCGGCCUUCUGGACUGACACCGACACUGAGGUGCGAAAGCGUGGGUAGCAAACAGGAUUAGAUACCCGAGUAGUC
rnacentral:rRNA from 1 species